ACGAGAGUUCGUGGAGCAGAGAAGAGUUGCUUUGGAGAAAUACUUGCGUAGGCUCGCUGCACGUCCCGUGAUCAGGAAGAGAGACGAAUUGAAGGUGUUUCUUCAAGUGCAAGGCAAACUGCUGAUGAAUGAAGCUGCCGAAACAGUUGUUUGGUGAAGGUGGAGCCUUUGCAGUGGCGUCACAUGAGGUGGUUCUGCCGGCCAAGGGAGGUAAGGAUCUGUUGAGAUUGUUUAAAGUGCUGAAGCAGUCAGUAGCCAUUGUCUGGGGCGGGUCGAAACAACCCUUCGUCGAAGAAGAUGAAGAAUUCUUGGAAAAGAAAGAAAAAGAUGCAGGAUCUUGGGCAACAAAUCAUCAAUGCUUCACAGCAGGCGUGAGUCCUUGGUGAAAGCCCAGCAGGAGAUGGGGAAGACUAUGGGGGAACUAGGAUUAUCAUUCAUUAAGCUGACGAAAUUCGAGAAUGAGGAAGCUGUUUUCAGCAUUCAAAGGAUCUAUGCUGCUGAUAGAAGAAUUUGGCAACUGCAGCUGUAAAAGAAAGCAGAUUUCCCCGAGAAUUGAAUUCCCAGACUGUCAAAAUUUGAUAGAUCAAGCGCCCUGUUGGCACUACAGUAUCUGUUAUCAGAGCUCUCUUCACUGCAUGCAAGGGCCGAGAACCUAGAAGCUGCAUCAUCAAAAGUAUUUGGCAGCGACAAAUCAAGAAUUCGGAAAACAGAAGAGUUAAAAGGAACCAUCAAGGCAGUUGAGGAUGCCAAAAAAUAUCGCCAUCAGAAAGGAUCAAGGUUGGACGGUGAAAGGCGUGCAGACUUCUUGAACAUGUUAAAAGGUUUUGUGGCCAAGCAGAUAUGAUAUUAUUGGGCUGUCCAUGUUAAAAUUCAACAACGUUUUGCAAAGCACUCACUAAAGCAGUGUUUGAAGUUAUAUAUAAGGGUUAAUGGCAGGAGUUAGGUCUGGUGCGGGUAGGUAUCAAUAAUCGAAGGUUAUUUAGCUCUGAAUCCAUCAAUGCUCAAUCUCCGUUUCUGAUGUGGCACAAAUGUGCGGAGGGAAAGGGAUGACUAUCUUGUGUUAUAUUUGUUCCUACGGGUUAACAGAAGGGAUCGGGUAGAGGACUGUUUUCUCAUUGUGAAUCCUGAAACCUGAUAAGAGGAGUUGGUCGGUAUCAUUUACAAAUACCUCGUUAAUUCCCAACAAGGAUAGAGUCAUGAUGAACAUUUUGAAGAUGUAGUUAGUUGGUGAAAUCAAUUACAAUGAGCAACGUGCAAAUGAUCUCUUGCCUGAAGUUGGCCAUGGCGGCUCUCGGGAGAGUAACCAGCACCCGGACGCCGUCUUUCAUGGAAGGCACCAUCUUGGAAGGAGGCAAGAAUAUACACAUAUCAGAAGACCCAGUUGCCUCCAGUCCGUCAGCAGCAUGAACGCUCCAUUCCCUCCUUCGAACUCCGCCUUCUUCUUCAACAUUCUCUCUGUCUCCCUCAACUGCUCCAUCAGUUUGACGAUGCGUGAGAGCGGAGACUCGGCCAGCUCUGCAGCCCUCAUUCCCACGUGGGAUUUCACGAAGGCGUUGCCGUAGUAUCCCUC